rnacentral:rRNA from 1 species
GACGAACGCUGGCGGCGUGCCUAAUACAUGCAAGUCGAACGCACAGUUUAUACCGUAGCUUGCUACACCAUAGACUGUGAGUUGCGAACGGGUGAGUAACGCGUAGGUAACCUGCCUGGUAGCGGGGGAUAACUAUUGGAAACGAUAGCUAAUACCGCAUAAUAUUAAUUAUUGCAUGAUAAUUGAUUGAAAGAUGCAACUGCAUCACUACCAGAUGGACCUGCGUUGUAUUAGCUAGUAGGUGAGGUAACGGCUCACCUAGGCGACGAUACAUAGCCGACCUGAGAGGGUGAUCGGCCACACUGGGACUGAGACACGGCCCAGACUCCUACGGGAGGCAGCAGUAGGGAAUCUUCGGCAAUGGACGAAAGUCUGACCGAGCAACGCCGCGUGAGUGAAGAAGGUUUUCGGAUCGUAAAGCUCUGUUGUAAGAGAAGAACGGGUGUGAGAGUGGAAAGUUCACACUGUGACGGUAUCUUACCAGAAAGAGACGGCUAACUACGUG